AGUCCAUGAUGAAGGAACUUUCGUAGUAACUCUUUGUAUCUUUCCCAUACCUCAUACAAGGACUCAUCAUCCAUUUGUUGGAAAGUAGUGAUCUUGUUCCUCAACUU
rfam:Gossypium arboreum cultivar AKA8401 contig_32761_1, whole genome shotgun sequence.